GCCCCUCUUUACUUAGAUAUUACUAGAUAAUAUGAAAAUUUGAUAUUUUUGUAUUAUCUGAGUAAAAGCUAAGUAAAGAUAGAAACACUAAUUUUGUCCGGGUUUCAAAAAAGAAAUGAAAGGAUGAAAACUGAAAACUUAAAUUUGACCAUUGCGAAGCAGAGGGCCGAUAACAAAAUUAAAACCUGGAUUUGACCAUUGCCUUGCAGAGGGCCAAAAUCGCAGAAGAAAAACAUAAAUUUGACCAUUGCGAAGCAGAGGGCCGAU
rnacentral:lncRNA from 1 species